UACGGGGGGGGCAAGCGUUGUUCGGAAUUACUGGGCGUAAAGGGCUCGUAGGCGGCCAACUAAGUCAGACGUGAAAUCCCUCGGCUUAACCGGGGAACUGCAUCUGAUACUGGAUGGCUUGAGUUUGGGAGAGGGAUGCGGAAUUCCAGGUGUAGCGGUGAAAUGCGUAGAUAUCUGGAGGAACACCGGUGGCGAAGGCGGCAUCCUGGACCGACACUGACACUGAGGAGCGAAAGCCAGGGGAGCAAACGGG
rnacentral:rRNA from 1 species